UGGAACCAUGCCUUCCUAGAGCAAAGAAAUGGGAGAUAGAGAACAGCAAUAAUGUAUUAUCAUUAUGGGGAGAAACUCGUGCUACCUCCUCUGUUGCACCUAUGGAUGUGAGUGUAACAGUCAGAUCUGACAAAGCGCCUUUGGAUCAGUGGAAGUUCUUUCACGACCUCCCUUCCCUGAGUACUUUACACAUCAAAUGUUGCACUGAUCGGACAUGCAGCUCCAAUAUGCUAAGCCAAUUCCUGUUCAACAUCAUGUCACGGUGGUUCACAAAUUCUAAUGAUUUGUACAUAACUAAGCUGAUGAAAAGACAAGUUAUUAACGAUUUGAAACUACAGUGGACUAGAAAUGCUGGUGGUUCUGUGGAGGAUGUGGAAGUACUGGGAAAGCUUGUACCACCAAGUAGUUUGAGGGAAUUUAAUAUGACAGGUUACAGCAGUAUGAGGUUUCCUGCCUGGGUUAUGGACAUUACGCUUUAUCUCCCAAGUCUUAGCAAGAUUGAAUUGUGGGAUAUACGCAAAUGCAACAGCUUACCACCACUUGGCCAAUUAACAAACUUGCAAGAGCUAGUUAUAGGUGUAAUGGAUAGCAUUACGACAAUUGAUGGGGAUUUCUGUGGCGGUGAAAGAGCCUUCCCUGAAUUGAGGAAAUUUUGCUUAUGCCGUAUGGGAAACCUCAAGUUGUGGGAGACAAUGUACUCCUAUGACAUGGGUAGUGUGAAGAAAUUCAUGUUCCCAAACCUUGUGGAAUUGUUAAUACGUGAUUGCCCAAAUUUAAGAUUGAAACCAUGCCCACCUAGAGCUAAGAGAUGGGAAAUUGAGAGCAGCGAUAAUGUAUUAUCAUCAUGGGGAGAGAAUCUGUCAUGCAACUCAUUAGACAUAAUUGGAGACCUCUCGUUUAUCAAAUCAUUGUUGCUAGAAGAUAAUACUCAGCCAGAACAUCCGAAAUGGUUGGGUGGCCUCAGCUCUAUCCGGAAAAUGGACAUCACAAGGUGUAAAGAGCUGUCUGAUUUGCCUGGGAGCAUGCGAUAUCUGACAUCCCUCCAGGAGCUUUCUUUGAUAGAUUGUCCAAGAAUAAAAGUGCUGCCAGAAUGGUUGGGUGAUCUUACUGCUCUGAAGAAACUUCAGAUCCGGUAUUGUAGGGGUAUCAACUCUUUGCCACAGAGCAUACAGAAGCUUACCAAGCUUAAAGGACUAGCUAUUUACCACUGCCUUGAAUUGGUAGAGUGGUGUAAUUUAGAGAAGAACAAGAACAUGCUGGCUCACAUAAAAGUAAAGGUAUAUGUCCCGCCAUGCUAUCUGCCAUGUCCUACUUAUCUUGACAGUAGCCAAAUUAAACUACACGGUGAUGCAUUUUCAUCUGCAACAUCCCUACAAGUCUUGGAUUUAAGCAAGUGCCACAUAUACAAGUUGCCAGCUUGCAUCAGUGAAUUGGUGAAAUUGAGGUAUCUCAAUGCCCCCAAGAUUCAAAGUCAAACAAUCCCGUAUUGUAUCACCAAGCUCUCGAAACUAAUUUACCUCAACCUAAGUUGGUCCAGGAUGUUAGCAUUGCCUGAGUCAAUUGGUGACUUGAGAUGUUUGAUGCAUCUUGACAUCUCGAAUUGUGAAUUUAUAGAUAACCUCCCAAAAUCAUUUGUGAAUCUCAAAAGGUUGGAAUAUCUGGAUUUAUCAAACAACAGUCAGCUUAGAGGUCUAUCAAAAGCUUUGGGUGGCCUAACCAACAUCCAAUACUUGAAUUUAUCAAUGCAAAUAGGUUAUGUAUUGGGUCAAUUUCUUGAGGGGCUGCCAGAGGUCAUUGGUAAUCUAAUUGGACUCCGUUAUUUAGGUCUAUCACAUACCACACGAUCCAUCUUCUGGAAUUCGAGCUCAGAUGAACUAUUCAGUUUCAUUGACCGUAUAUGUACCCUUUCUAAUCUGCAGCAUCUGGACUUGUCUAAUAAUGAUAGUAUAGUAAGUGUUCCUGAGAGUAUUGGCAACCUCAGGAAUCUGCAUACACUGGACCUCUCUUGCUGUUCACAUCUAGUGAGGCUUCCAGAAUGUUUGGUUAGAAUGGAUAAUGUGAAGAUCUUGAAUGUCACCGGGUGCCGCAAACUGGAAAAAUCUGCACUGUCCCGAUCAAAGAUUUUUGACUUGUUGCCACAUUUCGUGGUCCAAGCUGAUGAAGGUGAAUCUAGCAGCAACAUCGGUCUUCUACAGUACGCAAAUCCUAAUGAGUUGCACAUAACUUGCCUUGAUAAUGUAAAGUCUGCAGAAGAGGUCCAGAGUAUAAAGCUGAUAGAAAAACAAGGGAUUAAUGAUUUGAAACUUCAAUGGACCAGUGAUGCUUGCAGGUCUGUUGAGGAUAUGGAAGUGAUGGCAAGUCUUGUGCCACCAAGCACCUUGAGGGAAUUUAAUAUGACAGGCUACAAUAAUGUGAGCUUUCCGCCCUGGCUUAUGAACAUAAAGCUUUAUCUACCGGAACUUAGCAAGAUUGAACUGUGGCAUAUAUGUAAAUGCAACAGCUUGCCUGCAUUAGGUCAAUUACAAAACCUUAGAGAGCUAAUUAUUGGAGAAAUGGACAGCAUUACGAUCAUCGAAGAGGAUUUUUGUGGUGGUGCAAGGGCCUUCCCUCAGCUGAAGAGAUUUUGUCUAUACCACAUGGAAAAUCUGGAAGCAUGGAAGACGAUGUACUCCAAUGGCAAGGAUGUUGAGAAAGAAUUCAUGUUCCCUAACCUUAAGGAGCUGUCAAUAAAUGAUUGCCCAAAGUUGAGAAUGGAACCAUGCCUUCCUAGAGCAAAGAAAUGGGAGAUAGAGAACAGCAAUAAUGUAUUAUCAUUAUGGGGAGAAACUCGUGCUACCUCCUCUGUUGCACCUAUGGAUGUGAGUGUAACAGUCAGAUCUGACAAAGCGCCUUUGGAUCAGUGGAAGUUCUUUCACGACCUCCCUUCCCUGAGUACUUUACACAUCACAUGUUGCACUGAUCCGACAUGCAGCUCCAAUAUGCUAAGCCAAUUCCUGUUCAACAUCAUGUCACGGUGGUACACAAAUUCUAAUGAUUUGUACAUAACUAAUCUGAUG
rnacentral:lncRNA from 1 species